rnacentral:rRNA from 1 species
GAUGAACGCUGGCGGCGUGCUUAACACAUGCAAGUCGAACGGACAGGCGCUUCGGGGGAUUCUCGUGGGGUAGCGGCGAGUGACAGGGUGACGAUUUGAUAUGCACCUUAGGAUACGGCGAGGACUCUGGGACUAAUAACGUAUAAGCUGAUAAGCUUCAUAACCGGAGGGGGAAAGCUUUUGCGGCGUGGGUUGGGUCCGCGGCCUAUCAGCUCGUUGGUGGGGUAAUGGCCUACCAAGGCGACGACGGGUAGCCGGCCUGAGAGGGUGACCGGCCACACUGGGACUGAGAUACGGCCCAGACUCCUACGGGAGGCAGCAGUGGGGAAUAUUGCACAAUGGGCGCAAGCCUGAUGCAGCGACGCCGCGUGAGGGAUGACGGCCUUCGGGUUGUAAACCUCUUUCAGCACAGACGAAGCGCAAGUGACGGUAUGUGCAGAAGAAGGACCGGCCAACUACGUG